rnacentral:misc_RNA from 1 species
CCGAGUUUACAACUCCCAAACCCCUGUGAACAUACCUAUACGUUGCCUCGGCGGAUCAGCCCGCGCCCCGUAAAAAGGGACGGCCCGCCGCAGGAACCCUAAACUCUGUUUUUAGUGGAACUUCUGAGUAUAAACAAACAAAUAAAUCA